UCUGGUGAUUCUAGCGAGGCGGAACCACCCGUUCCCAUCCCGAACACGGAAGUGAAACACCUCAGCGCCCACGAUACUCGCAGGGCAACUUGCUGGGAAAAUAGGUCAUCGCCAGAG
rnacentral:rRNA from 2 species